GAUGAACGCUGGCGGCGUGCCUAAUACAUGCAAGUCGAGCGAACGGACGAGAAGCUUGCUUCUCUGAUGUUAGCGGCGGACGGGUGAGUAACACGUGGAUAACCUACCUAUAAGACUGGGAUAACUUCGGGAAACCGGAGCUAAUACCGGAUAAUAUUUUGAACCGCAUGGUUCAAAAGUGAAAGACGGUCUUGCUGUCACUUAUAGAUGGAUCCGCGCUGCAUUAGCUAGUUGGUAAGGUAACGGCUUACCAAGGCAACGAUGCAUAGCCGACCUGAGAGGGUGAUCGGCCACACUGGAACUGAGACACGGUCCAGACUCCUACGGGAGGCAGCAGUAGGGAAUCUUCCGCAAUGGGCGAAAGCCUGACGGAGCAACGCCGCGUGAGUGAUGAAGGUCUUCGGAUCGUAAAACUCUGUUAUUAGGGAAGAACAUAUGUGUAAGUAACUGUGCACAUCUUGACGGUACCUAAUCAGAAAGCCACGGCUAACUACGUGCCAGCAGCCGCGGUAAUACGUAGGUGGCAAGCGUUAUCCGGAAUUAUUGGGCGUAAAGCGCGCGUAGGCGGUUUUUUAAGUCUGAUGUGAAAGCCCACGGCUCAACCGUGGAGGGUCAUUGGAAACUGGAAAACUUGAGUGCAGAAGAGGAAAGUGGAAUUCCAUGUGUAGCGGUGAAAUGCGCAGAGAUAUGGAGGAACACCAGUGGCGAAGGCGACUUUCUGGUCUGUAACUGACGCUGAUGUGCGAAAGCGUGGGGAUCAAACAGGAUUAGAUACCCUGGUAGUCCAUGCCGUAAACGAUGAGUGCUAAGUGUUAGGGGGUUUCCGCCCCUUAGUGCUGCAGCUAACGCAUUAAGCACUCCGCCUGGGGAGUACGACCGCAAGGUUGAAACUCAAAGGAAUUGACGGGGACCCGCACAAGCGGUGGAGCAUGUGGUUUAAUUCGAAGCAACGCGAAGAACCUUACCAAAUCUUGACAUCCUUUGACAACUCUAGAGAUAGAGCCUUCCCCUUCGGGGGACAAAGUGACAGGUGGUGCAUGGUUGUCGUCAGCUCGUGUCGUGAGAUGUUGGGUUAAGUCCCGCAACGAGCGCAACCCUUAAGCUUAGUUGCCAUCAUUAAGUUGGGCACUCUAAGUUGACUGCCGGUGACAAACUGGAGGAAGGUGGGGAUGACGUCAAAUCAUCAUGCCCCUUAUGAUUUGGGCUACACACGUGCUACAAUGGACAAUACAAAGGGCAGCGAAACCGCGAGGUCAAGCAAAUCCCAUAAAGUUGUUCUCAGUUCGGAUUGUAGUCUGCAACUCGACUACAUGAAGCUGGAAUCGCUAGUAAUCGUAGAUCAGCAUGCUACGGUGAAUACGUUCCCGGGUCU
rnacentral:rRNA from 1 species